rnacentral:rRNA from 1 species
UGGGGAAUAUUGCACAAUGGGCGCAAGCCUGAUGCAGCCAUGCCGCGUGUGUGAAGAAGGCCUUCGGGUUGUAAAGCACUUUCAGCGAGGAGGAAGGUGGUGGACUUAAUACGUUCAUCAAUUGACGUUACUCGCAGAAGAAGCACCGGCUAACUCCGUGCCAGCAGCCGCGGUAAUACGGAGGGUGCAAGCGUUAAUCGGAAUUACUGGGCGUAAAGCGCACGCAGGCGGUUUGUUAAGUCAGAUGUGAAAUCCCCGGGCUCAACCUGGGAACUGCAUUUGAAACUGGCAAGCUAGAGUCUCGUAGAGGGGGGUAGAAUUCCAGGUGUAGCGGUGAAAUGCGUAGAGAUCUGGAGGAAUACCGGUGGCGAAGGCGGCCCCCUGGACGAAGACUGACGCUCAGGUGCGAAAGCGUGGGGAGCAAACAGGAUUAGAUACCCCUGGUAGUCCACGCUGUAAAACGAUGUCGAUUUUGGAGGUUGUGCCCCUUGAGGCGUGGNUUCCGGAGCUAACGCGUUAAAUCGACCGCCUGGGGAGUACGGCC